GAACUGCGAUAAGUAAUGUGAAUUGCAGAAUUCAGUGAAUCAUCGAUUCUUUGAACGCACAUUGCGCCCCCUGGCAUUCCGGGGGGCAUGCCUGUCCGAGCGUCAUUGCUGCCCAUCAAGCCCGGCUUGUGUGUUGGGUCGUCGUCCCCCCCGGGGGACGGGCCCGAAAGGCAGCGGUGGCACCGUGUCCGGUCCUCGAGCGUAUGGGGCUUUGUCACCCGCUCGACUAGGGCCGGCCGGGCGCCAGCCGACGUCUCCAACCAUUUUUCUUCAGGUUGACCUCGGAUCAGGUAGGGAUACCCGCUGAACUUAAGC
rnacentral:misc_RNA from 1 species